rnacentral:rRNA from 1 species
UGGGCAACCUGCCCCUCUCUCUGGGAUAACCCCGGGAAACCGGAGCUAAUACCGGAUACUCCGGCUGGAUCGCAUGGUCCGGCCGGGAAAGGUCCGCCGGAGAGGGAUGGGCCCGCGGCCUAUCAGCUUGUUGGUGGGGUCAUGGCUCACCAAGGCGACGACGGGUAGCUGGUCUGAGAGGACGACCAGCCACACUGGAACUGAGAUACGGUCCAGACUCCGUACGGGAGCA